CAGAAUUCUAACGGGUGGGGGCAGACUGGCUUGCCAAGAUGGAGACCACGACUGGGAUGGGGUGCAGGGCUGAGGAUCCAUGUGCUCCUGAUUGCAUCUUCUGUCAUUGUUCAGCUCUGCAGUUACUUUGGAAUGGCUUCUUUCUCACGUAACCUGUUUGCAUGGUGGCCCAAAAGGCUAUUAGCAGCUCUGAGACUUUGCUUUUACAAUAUUAGCUUGAUGCAAAAGUAAUUGCGGUCUUUGCACUGUUAAAACUUGCCAUUUGAUAUUGGAACACAUUCUGAAUAAAUGUGG
rnacentral:lncRNA from 1 species